rnacentral:rRNA from 1 species
GCCAUCCUUUAAAGAAAGCGUAAUAGCUCACUGGUCUAGUGAUUUUGCGCGGAAAAUAUAACGGGGCUAAAGUAAGUACCGAAGCUGUAGACUUAGUUUACUAAGUGGUAGGAGAGCGUUCUAUUUGCGUCGAAGGUAUACCGGUAAGGAGUGCUGGAGCGAAUAGAAGUGAGCAUGCAGGCAUGAGUAGCGAUAAUUAAUGUGAGAAUCAUUAACGCCGUAAACCCAAGGUUUCCUACGCGAUGCUCGUCAUCGUAGGGUUAGUCGGGUCCUAAGUCGAGUCCGAAAGGGGUAGACGAUGGCAAAUUGGUUAAUAUUCCAAUACCAACAUUAGUGUGCGAUGGAAGGACGCUUAGGGCUAAGGGGGCUAGCGGAUGGAAGUGCUAGUCUAAGGUCGUAGGAGGUUAUAUAGGCAAAUCCGUAUAACAAUACUCCGAGAACUGAAAGGCUUUUUGAAGUCUUCGGAUGGAUAGAAGAACCCCUGAUGCCGUCGAGCCAAGAAAAGUUUCUAAGUUUAGCUAAUGUUGCCCGUACCGUAAACCGACACAGGUGGGUGGGAUGAGUAUUCUAAGGCGCGUGGAAGAACUCUCUUUAAGGAACUCUGCAAAAUAGCACCGUAUCUUCGGUAUAAGGUGUGGUUAGCUUUGUAUUAGGAUUUACUCCGAAAGCAAGGAAACUUACAACAAAGAGUCCCUCCCGACUGUUUACCAAAAACACAGCACUCUGCUAACUCGUAAGAGGAUGUAUAGGGUGUGACGCCUGCCCGGUGCUCGAAGGUUAAUUGAUGGGGUUAGCAUUAGCGAAGCUCUUGAUCGAAGCCCGAGUAAACGGCGGCCGUAACUAUAACGGUCCUAAGGUAGCGAAAUUCCUUGUCGGUUAAAUACCGACCUGCAUGAAUGGCGUAACGAGAUGGGAGCUGUCUCAAAGAGGGAUCCAGUGAAAUUGUAGUGGAGGUGAAAAUUCCUCCUACCCGCGGCAAGACGGAAAGACCCCGUGGACCUUUACUACAGCUUGACACUGCUACUUGGAUAAGAAUGUGCAGGAUAGGUGGGAGGCUUUGAGUAUAUGACGCCAGUUGUAUAUGAGCCAUUGUUGAGAUACCACUCUUUCUUAUUUGGGUAGCUAACCAGCUUGAGUUAUCCUCAAGUGGGACAAUGUCUGGUGGGUAGUUUGACUGGGGCGGUCGCCUCCCAAAUAAUAACGGAGGCUUACAAAGGUUGGCUCAGAACGGUUGGAAAUCGUUCGUAGAGUAUAAAGGUAUAAGCCAGCUUAACUGCAAGACAUACAAGUCAAGCAGAGACGAAAGUCGGUCUUAGUGAUCCGGUGGUUCUGUGUGGAAGGGCCAUCGCUCAAAGGAUAAAAGGUACCCCGGGGAUAACAGGCUGAUCUCCCCCAAGAGCUCACAUCGACGGGGAGGUUUGGCACCUCGAUGUCGGCUCAUCGCAUCCUGGGGCUGGAGCAGGUCCCAAGGGUAUGGCUGUUCGCCAUUUAAAGCGGUACGCGAGCUGGGUUCAGAACGUCGUGAGACAGUUCGGUCCCUAUCUGCCGUGGGCGUAAGAAGAUUGAAGAGAUUUGACCCUAGUACGAGAGGACCGGGUUGAACAAACCACUGGUGUAGCUGUUGUUCUGCCAAGAGCAUCGCAGCGUAGCUAAGUUUGGAAAGGAUAAACGCUGAAAGCAUCUAAGCGUGAAGCCAACUCUAAGAUGAAUCUUCUCUAAGCUCUCUAGAAGACUACUAGUUUGAUAGGCUGGGUGUGUAAUGGAUGAAAGUCCUUUAGCUGACCAGUACUAAUAGAGCGUUUGGCUUAUCUUUAAUAAAGCAU